rnacentral:rRNA from 1 species
CCUACGGGGUGCAGUAGUCGAGAAUCAUUCACAAUGGGGGAAACCCUGAUGGUGCGACGCCGCGUGGGGGAAUGAAGGUCUUCGGAUUGUAAACCCCUGUCAUGUGGGAGCAAAUUAAAAAGAUAGUACCACACGAGGAAGAGACGGCUAACUCUGUGCCAGCAGCCGCGGUAAUACAGAGGUCUCAAGCGUUGUUCGGAAUCACUGGGCGUAAAGCGUGCGUAGGCUGUUUCGUAAGUCGUGUGUGAAAGGCGCGGGCUCAACCCGCGGACGGCACAUGAUACUGCGAGACUAGAGUAAUGGAGGGGGAACCGGAAUUCUCGGUGUAGCAGUGAAAUGCGUAGAUAUCGAGAGGAACACUCGUGGCGAAGGCGGGUUCCUGGACAUUAACUGACGCUGAGGCACGAAGGCCAGGGGAGCGAAAGGGAUUAGAUACCCCAGUAGUC